CACAGACAGCUAGGAGGUUGGCUUAGAAGCAGCCACCCUUUAAAGAAAGCGUAAUAGCUCACUAGUCGAGUCGGCCUGCGCGGAAGAUGUAACGGGGCUAAAUUGGUAACCGAAGCUGCGGAUGCAUGCUUGCAUGCAUGGUAGAGGAGCGUUCUGUAAGCCGUUGAAGGUGAACCGAGAGGUUUGCUGGAGGUAUCAGAAGUGCGAAUGCUGACAUGAGUAACGACAAAGGGGGUGAAAAACCCCCUCGCCGGAAGAUCAAGGUUUCCUACGCAACGCUAAUCGGCGUAGGGUGAGUCGGCCCCUAAGGCGAGGGAGAAAUCCGUAGUCGAUGGGAAACAGGUUAAUAUUCCUGUACUUCUUCUUACUGCGAUGGAGGGACGGAGAAGGCUAGGCCAGCGCGGCGAUGGUUGUCCGCGUUUAAGGUAGUAGGCUGGAAUCUUAGGAAAAUCCGGGAUUCUAAGGCCGAGAACUGAUGACGAGUCCUCUUUUGGACGAAGUGGUUGAUGCCAUGCUUCCAGGAAAAGCUUCUAAGCUUCAGGUAAGAAGGAACCGUACUGUAAACCGACACAGGUGAUCAGGUAGAGAAUACCAAGGCGCUUGAGAGAACUCGGGUGAAGGAACUAGGCAAAAUGGUACCGUAACUUCGGGAGAAGGUACGCUCUCUUUGGUGAUCGGACUUGCUCCGUAAGCUGAGGAGAGUCGAAGUGACCAGGUGGCUGCAACUGUUUAUUAAAAACAUAGCACUCUGCAAACUCGUGAGAGGAAGUAUAGGGUGUGACGCCUGCCCGGUGCCGGAAGGUUAAUUGAUGGGGUUAGCGUAUGCGAAGCUCUUGAUCGAAGCCCCGGUAAACGGCGGCCGUAACAAUAACGGUCCUAAGG
rnacentral:rRNA from 1 species